rnacentral:rRNA from 1 species
AUUGAACGCUGGCGGCAGGCUUAACACAUGCAAGUCGAGCGGGGGAAGGUAGCUUGCUACCGGACCUAGCGGCGGACGGGUGAGUAAUGCUUAGGAAUCUGCCUAUUAGUGGGGGACAACAUCUCGAAAGGGAUGCUAAUACCGCAUACGUCCUACGGGAGAAAGCAGGGGAUCUUCGGACCUUGCGCUAAUAGAUGAGCCUAAGUCGGAUUAGCUAGUUGGGGGGGUAAAGGCCUACCAAGGCGACGAUCUGUAGUGGGUCUGAGAGGAUGAUCCGCCACACUGGGACUGAGACACGGCCCAGACUCCUACGGGAGGCAGCAGUGGGGAAUAUUGGACAAUGGGGGGAACCCUGAUCCAGCCAUGCCGCGUGUGUGAAGAAGGCCUUAUGGUUGUAAAGCACUUUAAGCGAGGAGGAGGCUACUCUAGUUAAUACCUAGGGAUAGUGGACGUUACUCGCAGAAUAAGCACCGGCUAACUCUGUGCCAGCAGCCGCGGUAA